rnacentral:rRNA from 1 species
AUUGAACGCCGGCGGCAGGCCUAACACAUGCAAGUCGAGCGGAUGAAGGGAGCUUGCUCCUGGAUUCAGCGGCGGACGGGUGAGUAAUGCCUAGGAAUCUGCCCGGUAGUGGGGGAUAACGUCCGGUAACGGGCGCUAAUACCGCAUACGUCCUGAGGGAGAAAGUGGGGGAUCUUCGGACCUCACGCUAUCAGAUGAGCCUAGGUCGGAUUAGCUAGUUGGUGGGGUAACGGCCUACCAAGGCGACGAUCCGUAACUGGUCUGAGAGGAUGAUCAGUCACACUGGAACUGAGACACGGUCCAGACUCCUACGGGAGGCAGCAGUAGGGAAUAUUGGACAAUGGGCGAAAGCCUGAUCCAGCCAUGCCGCGUGUGUGAAGAAGGUCUUCGGAUUGUAAAGCACUUUAAGUUGGGAGGAAGGGCAGUAAAUUUAAACCUUGCUGUCUUGACGUUACCAACAGAAAAAGCACCGGCUAACUUCGUG